AUUGAACGCUGGCGGCAGGCCUAACACAUGCAAGUCGAACGAGUGGCGGACGGGUGAGUAAUGUCUGGGAAACUGCCCGUUGGAGGGGGAUAACUACUGGAAACGGUAGCUAAUACCGCAUACCAUCUGAUGUGCCCAGAUGGGAUUGGCUAGUAGGUGGGGUAACGGCUCACCUAGGCGACGAUCCCUAGCUGGUCUGAGAGGAUGACCAGCCACACUGGAACUGAGACACGGUCCAGACUCCUACGAGAGGCAGCAGUGGGAAAUAUUGCACAAUGGGCGCAAGCCUGAUGCAGCCAUGCCGCGUGUAUGAAGAAGGCCUUCGGGUUGUAAAGUACUUUCAGCGGGGAGGCGUUACCCGCAGAAGAAGCACCGGCUAACUCCGUGCCAGCCGCCGCGGUAAUUC
rnacentral:rRNA from 1 species